rnacentral:rRNA from 1 species
AGUGAACGCUGGCGGUAGGCCUAACACAUGCCAGUCGAACGGCAGCACAGUAAGAGCUUGCUCUUACGGGUGGCGAGUGGCGGACGGGUGAGGAAUACAUCGGAAUCUACUUUUUCGUGGGGGAUAACGUAGGGAAACUUACGCUAAUACCGCAUACGACCUACGGGUGAAAGCAGGGGAUCUUCGGACCUUGCGCGAUUGAAUGAGCCGAUGUCGGAUUAGCUAGUUGGCGGGGUAAAGGCCCACCAAGGCGACGAUCCGUAGCUGGUCUGAGAGGAUGAUCAGCCACACUGGAACUGAGACACGGUCCAGGCUCCUACGGGAGGCAGCAGUGGGGAAUAUUGGACAAUGGGCGCAAGCCUGAUCCAGCCAUACCGCGUGGGUGAAGAAGGCCUUCGGGUUGUAAAGCCCUUUUGUUGGGAAAGAAAAGCAGCAGGCUAAUACCCCGCUGUUCUGACGGUACCCAAAGAAUAAGCACCGGCUAACUUCGUG